rnacentral:rRNA from 1 species
GAUGAACGCUGGCGGCGUGCCUAAUACAUGCAAGUCGAGCGAACAGACGAGGAGCUUGCUCCUCUGACGUUAGCGGCGGACGGGUGAGUAACACGUGGAUAACCUACCUAUAAGACUGGGAUAACUUCGGGAAACCGGAGCUAAUACCGGAUAAUAUAUUGAACCGCAUGGUUCAAUAGUGAAAGACGGUUUUGCUGUCACUUAUCGAUGGAUCCGCGCCGCAUUAGCUAGUUGGUAAGGUAACGGCUUACCAAGGCAACGAUGCGUAGCCGACCUGAGAGGGUGAUCGGCCACACUGGAACUGAGACACGGUCCAGACUCCUAAGGGAGGCAGCAGUAGGGAAUCUUACGCAAUGGGCGAAAGCCUGACGGAGCAACGCCGCGUGAGUGAUGAAGGUCUUCGGAUCGUAAAACUCUGUUAUUAGGGAAGAACAAAUGUGUAAGUAACUAUGCACGUCUUGACGGUACCUAAUCAGAAAGCCACGGCUAACUACGUG